rnacentral:rRNA from 1 species
UACGGAGGGUGCAAGCGUUGUCCGGAUUUAUUGGGUUUAAAGGGUGCGUAGGCGGCCCGUUAAGUCAGUGGUGAAAGCCUCCAGCUCAACUGGAGAACUGCCAUUGAUACUGGCGGGCUUGAGUACAGACGAGGUUGGCGGAAUUGAUUGUGUAGCGGUGAAAUGCAUAGAUACAAUCAAGAACACCGAUUGCGUAGGCAGCUAACUAGGCUGUAACUGACGCCGAGGCACGAAAGCGUGGGGAGCGAACAGG